rnacentral:rRNA from 1 species
UACGUAGGGCGCAAGCGUUGUCCGGAAUUAUUGGGCGUAAAGAGCUCGUAGGCGGUCUGUCGCGUCCGUUGUGAAACUCGAGGCUCAACCUCGGGCUUGCAGUGGAUACGGGCAGACUAGAGUGCGGUAGGGAGACUGGAAUUCCUGGUGUAGCGGUGGAAUGCGCAGACUAUCGGAGGAACACCGGUGGCGAAGGCGGCCGAUCUGGUCGAGUACUGACGCUGAGGUGCGAAAGCGUGGGAGCAACAGG